rnacentral:sRNA from 1 species
UGGAGUGGCCAACACCUCCAAGCAGGAACAACCCUGACUUUAGGGGUCAGGAGUGUGGCCCGGGGGUUUGACAAGGAAAGGGGGUCAAAUCUGGACUAGUCACCGAGAAGAGGCCUCCUGAGGAGGGAGGCAUCGCGAGUCUCUGGUUGGCCAAGGGAAUAGAAGGAUCCCUAACUGGAACCUGGGAUUU